ensembl:misc_RNA Metazoa_SRP Metazoan signal recognition particle RNA
GCCAGGCAUGGUGGUGGGUGCCUGUAAUCCCAGCUACUCAGGAGGCUGAGGCAGGAGAAUUGCUUGAACCUAGGAGAUGGAGAUUGCAGUGAGCCAAGAUGGUGCCACUGUACUCCAGCCUGGGUGACAGAGCAAGACUCCGUCUCUA